CCUACGGGAGGCAGCAGUGAGGAAUAUUGGUCAAUGGGCGGAAGCCUGAACCAGCCAAGUCGCGUGAGGGAUUAAGGCCCUGCGGGUCGUAAACCUCUUUUGCCGGGGAGCAGAGGUCAGGACGUGUCCGGGCCGGGAGAGUACCCGGAGACAAAGCAUCGGCUAACUCCGUGCCAGAAGCCGCGGUAAUACGGAGGAUGCGAGCGUUAUCCGGAGUUAUUGGGUUCAAAGGGUGCGGAGGCGGGCAUUUAGGCCGGAGGGCAAAUGUCGGGGCUCAAACCCGGCCUGCCGUCGGAACUGGGUGCCUUGAGUGGGCGAGAAGUAGGCGGAAUGAGUGGUGUAGCGGUGAAAUGCAUAGAUAUCACGCAGAACCCCGAUUGCGAAGGCAGCAUACCGGCGCCCUACUGACGCUGAGGCACGAAAGUGCGGGUAUCGAACAGGAUUAGAUACCCGAGUAGUC
rnacentral:rRNA from 1 species